rnacentral:tRNA from 1 species
GGGGAUGUAGUUAAUAAUAACAUUUAAUUUGCAAUUAAAAAGUGCAAUUACUGCCUUCCUUA